GGAAGCCCUGCGCGCGGGGCGACAAGAGGGGGAAGGGGAGGCGGGGUUAGCGCGGCAGCGGCGGGCCGGGACCCGCACGGGACCCGCACCCUCGCUGGGCGGCCGCGCGGCCGAGGGCGGGCCGGGCUCGGGCUCGGCCCCAGCCCCAGCAGCUCGCGGCCCGCGCCGCCUGCCUGCCCGCCCGCCGACCGAGCGCCGACGGCUCGGCCCGCGCAGCGCGGCCCAGCCCACCCCGCCCGCCACGUCGCCCCCGCCCCCUAAGCCGCUGUUGCCAUGGCGACGCCGAGCCCAGCCGAGUCGCGCCGACAGUGGCCGAGGCCGCCUUAGCCCCCCGGCUCGUGGCCGAGGGGGCGGGGCAGGGGAGGGGCGGAGGCCCCAGGGGCUUCUAGGGGCUACAGCCCCUUACCUCCACGCCGCCUCAAAGCCGGUCCUCCCAAACUAGGUCACACACCCCCACCUACUUUGAGGAAUCCACGCCCACCGCCCCGUCGGGGAUUGGCAAGGCGCCUUCCUCCACCCACGAGGUCGGGGCUCUCAGCCCACGGUCGUACAGAUGGGGGAAACGAAGGCUCUGAGAGCAGAAGUCGCUUUGCUGACAGGAUGAAUUCUCCAGCCGGGAACCGCGGUACCCCAGCGGAGACAACCUCCUCAGGGGACAGAAUCCCUAGCGCCCAGCCGAGGGAGAGGCUGAGGGGCUGAAGAGUUUGCUGAAUUUCCUCAAUAAAAGCUUCAAGAUAUGGGGCAUCCCAUUCAGGCCGUUUAUCCAUCUACCAGGCUGCACCAACUAAGAGCGGAGAUUCUUUCCCCACCACCCUCAUCCUAAGAACUCUAAGUCUAAUGCAAGAGACAGAGCCGAGACAGGCGUUCAAUACCCACUCAAUACUCGUGCUCCCUUUACAGGUGAUGGGAUAGAUGUCCAGGUUCAAGGUGCCACUGCUGGGCUGGGAACCUAUAGGCAGCUUGAGGGAGAGAAAAACUGGAGGAGGGGUCUCCCUGAGGGAACAGGAGUCCUCUGAGACCACCCACCCUAGCUUCAAUCCAGAUAACCACAUUUCAUCCAUCACCCAUAAAGCAGCGGUUCUCAACCUGUGGAUCCCGACCCACCGGAACUGUAUUAAAGGGCGCGGCAUUAGGAAGGUUGAGAACCACUGCCAUAAAGGGUAGGCUUGGCAGCCCUCUCUGUGUGGGGGGGGAGUGGGCUGAGGGUGGACAUUUGCCACUGGCCCUGUGCUGGAUCUGUCCUUCUUUGACAAACGAGGUCAAUACGUUGAUUGUACAAGUCAUGUCAUGUCACCUGCACAAGAGAAAAUGACAGAGAAAUAUCUGCAAAUGAAGCCUUCCUUGCUCAGACAGUCUCACAUCCAUAGCAGACCUAUCCUGUGACCACCUGUCAGUACUCUAAACGCCCUCUAAGGCCCAGCUGAACUGCAGCCUCAUCCAAAAGGCCUUCACAGGCUGUAGAGUUUAAGUGUCUUUCCCCUCUGCAGUCUGGAAUUAUCCGUCAAGGUAUUCUAAUCAGCUGCCGCUCAGUAAGUAUCUCUUUUGAGUGUUAAGGGCUGCAGGGGCGACCCUUAGGCAAGACAAUGUGUAAGGCAGAGGUUCUACAAACGGAGUCAGACCAGGCCAGCACUAGGCUCUGUAGGAGACACAGCAUGUGGGCAGAGACCUGAACCUCUGUGUAAGCUCUGACUCUCCCAACCUCUCCCUCUUGCCAGAUAUGGGGAGCAGGUUGCAACUGGCAUGGGGUUGUUGUCAAGCAAGUUCCCCCAAUGGGCUUAUUCUUUUUCUUGGUUUUUAUUUUCUAGACAUAUGAAAAUUUCACCAUUUUUACACUCUGUGGCACUAAGAACAAUGAAGCAUGUUUCACAAUUUAUGUAGCUCAU